rnacentral:rRNA from 1 species
CCCAGUUCGGAUUGCAGGCUGNAACCCGCCUGCAUGAAGCCGGAAUCGCUAGUAAUCGCGGAUCAGAAUGCCGCGGUGAAUACGUUCCCGGGUCUUGUACACACCGCCCGUCACACCAUGGGAGCCGGGAAUGCCCGAAGUCAGUGGCCCAACCGAAAGGGGGAGCUGCCGAAGGCAGGCCUGGUGACUGGGGUGAAGUCGUAACAAGGUAAC